rnacentral:lncRNA from 1 species
AAAUUAGAUCUCGAUACAUAGUCACAUCAAAAUCCUACACUAUUCCACCAUCCCCUCUAACACCUCAUUACUUCAGCCACCUUUUUUUUCAAAAGCUACAGAUUUUCUAGUGUAGCAAAUCUUUCUGUUCAAAAGCUGCAAAUUUGUUUUUCAAAGUCUGCUGACAUCUCAAAUCACCUCAACUCUCUACGGCAUGAUCCGCAUUCUUCUCAAAGGCUGCAAAUCCUCCUACUCCCUACACAAAUUUCAACCUUCAUAAUUUCCAUUGUCUACGGAAUCCACUUAUAAAUAGCAUAUCAGUUAACACACAACUCACUUCACUCUAGCAAGAACCACACCCGUGCAGAGAAAGGUAAAUAAACUUCACUUCUUAUGCACUUCCUUAACAGCUUCUCAUUCAAUAACCUUAUUCUUGAAUCAUUCUCGCAGCCAACACAAAACCAAACGAACUCCAAGAACAACAACGAAAAUCAGAAAGCUUUCUUCAAGGUUUCACAUUCUAUAACUCACUAGCUUCAUCAUUCAUAUAUAGAAUUAUUUUCGUGAUAUUCGAAAUGAAGAGAGGACUUAGAAUAUAUGUAUAUGAAUGUGCUCUGCUUUCAUUCAAAAGAAAUUCUAAACUAGAGGACAUAAAACCAAGUUUCCAGCUAAAAAUCAAGUCUUUACACCAUUUGAGUUUUUGUAAAUUAUUUCAAAUUACAAACCUAUCGUGUGUGAUAAAACGAGAGAGAGAGGAUGGUGGACUAUCGGAGCUCUGCGACUCACGGCGACGGCAGCUCCGGGAGAGGCGGCUGUCGGGUUCUUGCUGCCCACAGCAGCGGCCGACGACGGCGCUUCCCCAGCGAGCCGCCGACCACCGGACGAGCAGCAGCAACUCCAGGCCGCGACUCCGGCGAAACAGCAGCAGUCGGCGGCGACUCCAGGCGAAGCAGCAGCAGCUCCAGACGAUGGCAGCCGCUCCAGACGGCGACGAUGGCUCCAGACGGCGGCGGU